AAAAAUCCAUCAUAUGUCCUCAGCCCCACAAUUCUCCUCCUUUUAUCCUUAACAACAAGAGGAAAUAGAAAGAAAACUACAAUAGAGUUCCUCCCCUUGAAAAAUUAAUAAGAAGAUCAAAACAGGAAAUAUAUAUAUAUAUACACUCCAAAUUCACAGGAUCAAAUUAGCUAUAUAAUGCCAAGAGCUAUAUAGCCAGUGAAUAGAAUCUAAA
rnacentral:misc_RNA from 1 species